rnacentral:tRNA from 1 species
GGACUGUGGCUCAGUGGUAGAGCACUCGCCUAUCAUGUGUGAGGCACUGGGUUCGGGCCUCCACACCA